ACGAAACAGAAAGUACGCAGAUUAUGGAUACACUCCAGGAAUAUAUAUUUGGCACCUUGAACAUUCAAGCACGUAUCUCCUCACCCGAAGAUAUCAAAUGGUUUUGUAUAGAUUAUGUUUUACAAAGUAAAGUUGGUGAAGAUAUCAUUGUAUAUACAUUAAUUCAUAGCGUGGCUAGAAGACUUGGUCUACGUUGCGUUGUAAUAGAUGUUGACACUCAAAUCUGUAUAUUUUGAAAAUCAAAAUUCGUCACGAAUAAUUUAGAAAAUGCAAGAUGUUUUUACAUAGAAGACGAAAAUUUCCCGAAUUGUCUUCAUGAUUAUCUACAAGAUUACGAGUCUUAUGAAACAUAUAAUGACGUCAGCAAAAUAAAAACU